rnacentral:rRNA from 1 species
GUGGCGCACGGGUGAGUAACGCGUAGAUGAUCUACCCUUCAGUCUGGGACAACUCUUGGAAACGGGAGCUAAUACCGCAUACGCCCUACGGGGGAAAGCGGGGGACCUUCGGGCCUCGUGCUAUUAGAUGAGCCUGCGUUGGAUUAGCUAGUUGGUGGGGUAAUGGCCUACCAAGGCGACGAUCCAUAGCUGGUCUGAGAGGAUGAUCAGCCACACCGGGACUGAGACACGGCCCGGACUCCUACGGGAGGCAGCAGUGGGGAAUAUUGCGCAAUGGGCGAAAGCCUGACGCAGCCAUGCCGCGUGUGUGAAGAAGGCCUUCGGGUUGUAAAGCACUUUCAAUUGGGAGGAAAGGUU